GACGAACGCUGGCGGCGUGCUUAACACAUGCAAGUCGAACGGAAAGGCCCUGCUUGCAGGGUACUCGAGUGGCGAACGGGUGAGUAACACGUGGGUGAUCUGCCCUGCACUUCGGGAUAAGCCUGGGAAACUGGGUCUAAUACCGGAUAGGAGCCAUUUUUAGUGUGAUGGUUGGAAAGUUUUUUCGGUGUAGGAUGAGCUCGCGGCCUAUCAGCUUGUUGGUGGGGUAAUGGCCUACCAAGGCGGCGACGGGUAGCCGGCCUGAGAGGGUGGACGGCCACAGGGGGACGGAGAUACGGCCAAGACUCCUACGGGAGGCAGCAGUGGGGAAUAUUGCACAAUGGGCGCAAGCCUGAUGCAGCGACGCCGCGUGGGGGAUGACGGCCUUCGGGGUGUAAACUCCUUUCGCUAGGGACGAAGCUUUUUGUGACGGUACCUAGAUAAGAAGCACCGGCUAACUAC
rnacentral:rRNA from 1 species